rnacentral:misc_RNA from 1 species
AAAUAAAUGAAAAAAAAAUUAAAAAGGAAAGGAUAACAAUAGAAAAAUAAUAGAAACGAAAAAUAAAUAUCAUUUAACAUUGCGCCAUUGGUUCUUCAUAGGUCAAUUUUCUCAAGUGCAUGACAAAACUAAGCAUUCUAAUUUCUGGGAUUUUCCUUGCAAAUCCUAAGAGCCAAUACGUUGCUUUUGACAAAACUAGCAUUCUUGUUUUUCUUUUAUUCAACCGCUUCUCUAUGAAACUGUCCAAAUAUGCACCUGCAAAAGCCUCACAGAAACCAAACGCAUUCGUCUCCAAAACAACCCACCCCAAUUAGAUGCGUGACCCAAAAACUACCCCUUCCCUCUACAAUCUACAAUGCUGUGAAUCUUUUAACUCGAAAUGUGAUUGUCUCCUAAGUUCUUUAAUUAACCAAUUCUAUUUGCUAACCACCACCAUUAUGGAUCAUUGCAUGAAGGUGUUAGGCUGCUAAAUCCAUCACCGAUGUGUAUUCAUUUCUCUACUGGUCACCUCAUCUGCGUGUGAUUGAAUUCCUGCGCCUUUUUGUUUUCACAUCUCGGCAAGAUUCGCUUCCACAACAACAUUGAAAUGCCUUUAUUGGGUGAUCAUGAUCAUCAAAGUCAAUACCAUAAUCCCAAGUCAGUUCUUCCAAUGCGCUCACUUCUCUUGUUGUAAAAAAUGCAAGAUGGUAAUAGUGCCGAUCAGGAGUCUCUACUUCUACUGGAAUAUCAAUCAAAUUUGCCUCACCACAUCUAUGAUUAAUAAACCUUGCAACAUUUCCACUAAAAGUUGCAUCCAAACACAGUGCUUCUUCAUCCCUUAGAAUUCUUUCUGAACCCCAGUCUGCAUCAAGUGUAACUGGAUAUGUAUGUCUCUCAUUGCCACUAUUUUCAUUCCGCUCAUAUAAUUCCAUGUUGGUCAGUAUUUCCCCAACAUAUUCACAAACAAAGGCCCCUUCCGGCAAGUUCUCAAGUGUUCUAAGGCCCCAGCCUUUACCUUCCCGAGUCAAAAAUACCUGGGACAUAAAAUCAUAUCAUCUAGAGUAAUCAAAGACUUACUAAUGAAAUCAGUCUUCUCACAGAAAAUAGGGAGCUAGAAAAAUAAAUUCAGAAAAAUACAGAUAAAAUAAGAGUCGUCAUAGGCUUAUAAUAAUGCCCCUUUUUUUGUGUAGAUGUCUGGUGUUCAUCUGAGUUACUAGCCUCUGAAAAUCAUAAAACUUAAACACAGGCUAUAAAAAUUUCUGUCAAAAUCAACAUAGUAUUGAAUUUGACCAAUUACCCAUAGCAGUUAUUUCAAAGCAAUUUCUACUUCAAGUUGCUUCCAAAAAUUCUAACACCAACUAUGUAACAAUUGUGAAAGCAAACUGUUAACAUAACCAUGGUUAAAGGUUUUAAACACCAUCAAACCUGCAAUCUGCAUGUGAUACCCCGUUGUACCACUCGAUUUCCACAGUUCAUGUCACACCCACAUUUUCUCCAACAUUCUUUAAUAAACUUUCUAACCAAGUGACCCUUGCAUUGUUCAGGCAUAUCCUCAUUCUUGGAUCUCUCCAAUGGACAAUCUUGACAAAAAACAUAAUGGUGCUUUUGAGGGUCUAGCUUCAUAGAAACACAACCUCUUAAAAAUUUUUGUUUUAGAAGGCCUUUUUGUGUGUAAGCAAACUCUCCCCCAGUUUCACUAGCACAUGCACAUGGUAAUGGAGAUGAAAGACAAUCUCCCGAACAACUUGAACAGCAAUCCACAUCCGCAAUCCGAGCAAGUGAAAUUUGCAUGUAAGCAUUUUGAUAAAUUAUAUUAUGUGGCAUGUAUGUAAACUUUGGGAGAUCCACAUUGCCUAUGUCAUCUAUCAAUGAAAUUUUGACAUUUUCUGCACCUUUUGUUAUGUCACUUAUCCUUUUGAAGGACCCCUUCUCAUCAUAAGUAGUUCUUUGCAGUUGCUUGUUUACCAAAUUAUGAGAAUCAGAAAACCUUAAGGGUUUUGUAAUCUUCUCUUUCAGAACCAUAUUAUGAUUACCAGUUAUUAACGCCCUUCUGUUUGACCCUAUACUAUUAAGGGUAUUGCCAACUUUCCUAACUGAAGAAGAGUUAUUUGCAAUAGACCUAUUGCCUGACAUAUUGCAGGAGACAGUACCCGAUUCUAAAUAUGAUUCACAGAAAUCCUUCAGUAAAGUCAUUAUAGAAAACUGUGGUGAGACAAGUUUGUCUAUCCUUAGAUAUUUUUCAUCCAAAAAUUUCAAAACUGCAUUGAAAUCUGGAAUUUUAAAGUUUGCUCGUCCAACUGCUGAGUCACAAUUCAGCAAGAUUUUCACUUCUUCCAGGGUUGAUGAAGCAAUUACAAAGUUGCUUGCACAGUGAGUACUGUCGUUGGAUCCUGAACCUGAACCAUCACAUUGAGAUGCCAAGUAACCUACAACUUUGUCCCUAGUUGAAGCAGCCUGACAAACUGGAUCAAUAGCUGAAGUGGGUUCCGCAAAAUCUGCUGAAUCAUUUAUGAUACGUUCAGUUCUCUGCUUAAUGUGUUCUCUGCUGUGACAAAUACUGGGAACAUUUUUUCUUUGGUGACUAGAAGAGCCACAUUCAACAAUCGGUUGUUUAGAAUAUUGAGGGCAUACCAUCCCAGAAGUUGAAUUUCUACCUCUAACAGCCCUUUCGGAUGGAAUUGGAUCCUUCUUUUUCUGAUUUAAUUGUCUAUUAGGAAAUAAAGAACUGGAUUCAAUUCCCCUGUCCUUUCUAGAUUCAGAGCAUAGCUGAGAUGAUUCCCUAGUUCCCAGUUCAAGACCAGUCACUGACGUGCCACCCAAUGUAGAAGAAGACUGAUCUUCCUGCUCUUCAAAACACAGUCUCUUUGAAGCUUUUUCGGGCACAUCAUCUUUUGCAAGACUCUUUUUCUCACCUUCAAUUACCUUAGUUUCCCGUGAUUCAAAAUAUGCAUCUAUGAGUGCCCGAUAAUCUUCUGCUUCUAUAAGUUCCCAUUUCUUAUCAAACACCUUCAAGAGGUCCUUCAGCACUGGCUUCACCUCUUCAUCAGGAAGGCCUAGAGCUCUUGUUGCCUUAAAGGCAUUGUAAACUCUCUCGUUCGUCAUUUAAGAUAUGGAAUAACUCUUCAGUUUUUAUACUACUCAGGUCGUUUAUUUAUUCUAUUCCAUGCUCCUGAUAUGCAGCGUGCUUUGUGAAGUAGAACAGAAGAAUUCUCCACUGUAAAUUUAUAUAUAAAAUAUAUAAAUUAAUACUAAUAUAAUCAUUGUGUAAAAUUAAAAAAAGGAAAAAGAUUCUGGUGCGGGAGAUGCAGGGUCUGUCCUUCUGAUCUUGGGAGUACGAGAAUUUAUAUGCUGGCGUUUGAGUACGGAAGUUUGUGGCGUGGGAACGCUUCAGAAUAUCAGCCGCGUGCGGGGCAAAGAUGUAAUUCCACCGGGAUCAUGCUUUUUGUGCAGCGGCUCUCAAAACUGCAGUUGAUAAUUUUUUGUAAUCCGGAAGAGCAUCCGACCCGCCUCAAAUUUUUUUGAGAAUGAAUUUGAGGAGUGGCGAUUCAUCAUAAUCAAUGCCCAACCCAAUUCUAAUGUUGAAGACUUGCAUGCAGGCACUGAGAUGGAUUAAUUCAUGGUAGUUCUGCACUUUGCGACCAGUAGAAGGAAUCUGAGAUCCAACACGGAAAUGCAGCAAUAAUUGGAGACAAUCAAGCAUUGUGCUUCCUCAGUUCCUCAAGCUUCUUCUCUUCACGUGGCCCAAUCAAGGUGUUCAUCUUUGGUAAGAGAUCGGGAAGAUAAGCUGAUUGAUAGGGAUCAAAGAGGGGGAGGAAGAAGAAUGGUUGGGUCCCACAAUUAUUC